UGGGGAAUAUUGCGCAAUGGGGGGAACCCUGACGCAGCCAUGCCGCGUGAAUGAAGAAGGCCUUCGGGUUGUAAAGUUCUUUCGGUAUUGAGGAAGGUUGAUGUGUUAAUAGCACAUCAAAUUGACGUUAAAUACAGAAGAAGCACCGGCUAACUCCGUGCCAGCAGCCGCGGUAAUACGGAGGGUGCGAGCGUUAAUCGGAAUAACUGGGCGUAAAGGGCACGCAGGCGGUUAUUUAAGUGAGGUGUGAAAGCCCCGGGCUUAACCUGGGAAUUGCAUUUCAGACUGGGUAACUAGAGUACUUUAGGGAGGGGUAGAAUUCCACGUGUAGCGGUGAAAUGCGUAGAGAUGUGGAGGAAUACCGAAGGCGAAGGCAGCCCCUUGGGAAUGUACUGACGCUCAUGUGCGAAAGCGUGGGGAGCAAACAGGAUUAGAUACCCUGGUAGUCCACGCUGUAAACGCUGUCGAUUUGGGGGUUGGGGUUUAACUCUGGCACCCGUAGCUAACGUGAUAAAUCGACCGCCUGGGGAGUGCGGCCGCAAGGUUA
rnacentral:rRNA from 1 species